CACGGAUGACGUACUAAAAUACCGACAAAAACAUCUUCAAUUUUAUAAUAGUAGAUAUUAAUAUUUUUAUUAUUAUUAGAUGAUAAAACAUGAAUAGUUUUUUACGUGUGACUAAUUUAUUUUAAUUUUUUCAUAAACUUUUCAAAUAAGACGGACGGUCAAAAGUUUGACACGAAUUUUCACGGCUGCAUUUAUU
rnacentral:pre_miRNA from 1 species